rnacentral:rRNA from 1 species
GACGAACGCUGGCGGCGUGCUUAACACAUGCAAGUCGAACGAGUUGCGAACGGGUGAGUAAUACGUGAGUAAACUGCCCUCUUUUUGGGAUAAGCCUUGGAAACGGGGUCUAAUACCGGAUAAAGGGGGAGGGGCUCGCGGCCUAUCAGCUUGUUGGUGGGUUGACGGCCUACCAAGGCGGUGACGGGUAGCCGGCCUGAGAGGGUGACUGGCCACAUAGGGACUGAGAUACGGCCCAGACUCCGACGGUGGGCAGCAGUGGGGGAAAUUGCACAAUGGGCGAAAGACUAAUGCAGCGACGCCGCGUGAGGGAUGAAGGCUUUCGGGUUGUAAGCCUCUUUAGCAAUCGAACGGGUAGGUGAACAAGAAGCGCCGGCUAACUACGUGCCAGCCGCCGCGGUAAUAC